rnacentral:tRNA from 7 species
GCCGACAUAGCUCAGUUGGUAGAGCAACUGACUUGUAAUCAGUAGGUCCUCAGUUCGAAUCCGAGUGUCGGCACCA